rnacentral:rRNA from 1 species
CAAGUCGAGGGGCAGCAUGGUCUUAGCUUGCUAAGGCCGAUGGCGACCGGCGCACGGGUGAGUAACACGUAUCCAACCUGCCGUCUACUCUUGGACAGCCUUCUGAAAGGAAGAUUAAUACAAGAUGGCAUCAUGAGUCCGCAUGUUCACAUGAUUAAAGGUAUUCCGGUAGACGAUGGGGAUGCGUUCCAUUAGAUAGUAGGCGGGGUAACGGCCCACCUAGUCUUCGAUGGAUAGGGGUUCUGAGAGGAAGGUCCCCCACAUUGGAACUGAGACACGGUCCAAACUCCUACGGGAGGCAGCAGUGAGGAAUAUUGGUCAAUGGGCGCAGGCCUGAACCAGCCAAGUAGCGUGAAGGAUGACUGCCCUAUGGGUUGUAAACUUCUUUUAUAAAGGAAUAAAGUCGGGUAUGUAUACCCGUUUGCAUGUACUUUAUGAAUAAGGAUCGGCUAACUCCGUGCCAGCAGCCGCGGUAAUACGGAGGAUCCGAGCGUUAUCCGGAUUUAUUGGGUUUAAAGGGAGCGUAGAUGGAUGUUUAAGUCAGUUGUGAAAGUUUGCGGCUCAACCGUAAAAUUGCAGUUGAUACUGGAUAUCUUGAGUGCAGUUGAGGCAGGCGGAAUUCGUGGUGUAGCGGU